GACAGAGGGUGCAAACGUUGUUCGGAAUUACUGGGCGUAAAGCGCGUGUAGGCGGCGGUGCAAGUCGGAUGUGAAAGCCCUGGGCUCAACCCAGGAAGUGCAUUCGAUACUGCAUUGCUGGAGUCCCGGAGAGGAUGGUGGAACUCUCGGUGUAGAGGUGAAAUUCGUAGAUAUCGAGAAGAACACCAGUGGCGAAGGCGACUUACUGGACGAUUGUUGACGCUGAGGUGCGAAAGCGUGGGGAGCAAACAGG
rnacentral:rRNA from 1 species